rnacentral:tRNA from 1 species
GCCUGGGUGGCUCAGACAGUUAAGUGUCUGACUUUAGCUCAGAUCUUGAUCUCACAGUUUGUGAGUUCGAGCCCCACAUCAGGCU